rnacentral:lncRNA from 1 species
UAAACCCGAGUCUUAUUUGGGGUUAUUUGAGCAGUGUGAUUCAGAGCUAAAUAAAUGUUUAUUUCAGAGCCUUUCACUUCGGUUUAUCUCCUACGAAUUCCAGAGAGGAAAAUUUAUCUAAUGCUAUACCUUAAUAUCUACAGGAGCCGUUGCGGUGAAAUCUAGAAAGGGAGCAGGAGCAGUGGUUUGCCUGAUGGCCAUCACUUGGAUUUACCAGAGGUCACCAAAUGUCAUUCUGCAGGUAGGGAUCCUUCAGGGUUUACAUUGGUGUUUUUCUUCCUGCCCAUUACAAAGUUUCUGAUCUUCCUUUUCAUUUCUUUACUUAUCAGUCCGAUAAUUCACCAGGAAAUUCCUGGGCCAUGGAUGGUUCUCGUGACUUUUUAAUAAUUAAACUGUUCCAACCCAGCUGCCCUGUGUUUUUGCUUAUGGACCAUUGGAGGAAAGAAAUGGCUCCCACCACUGCUCUGCAAAACCUUUCCGUAUAUGGAUCAUGUCCGGAAGGAUGGCAAUAUCUAAAACUUGUCAUUUCAAGUAACUGAAAUAACCAAAACUACGCAUGUAUAUAUAAAAUCCAAACCUACAGAUUGAAAAUAUGAAAAAAGAACAAAAAAGCUUAGACCCUUUUUUGAUAUGUAAAAAAGAUUCUUUACUAUUUGCUAUACUGUUUGUUACUAUUUG